GCCCGUCACAUAUACACUGUUUACGGAGUUGUAUGCGGAAACGAUCGCUAACGGUUUUCGCCAAAAAUUUCGAACACGAAAUGCUCGAGUUUGAUCGCGAAAUCGCAACGUGAGGAUGCUUGGAACGAUCGCUCCUGUCAAACUAGGCGCAUCGCUGUGAUCUAGUUUUCGAGGGACAUGUGCUUGUCGCGCUUGGUAAAGUGAUCAAUAUUCGUCGAUAACGCUCGUCAUCCGUUUGUACAGCGGAUAUUUCUUCGCGGUGGAAGAUGGCCAGCCGGGAUCCGUCCAUCUCGUCCAAAACCAUGGAUGAUCAUAGCGUCGAGACAUUAGCAGAAGUAUUUCGAUGUUUUAUUUGUAUGGAAAAGUUGAGAGAUGCGCAUCUCUGUCCUCACUGUAGUAAAUUGUGCUGCUAUACCUGUAUCAGAAAAUGGCUCACUGAGCAACGUUCUCAAUGUCCUCACUGCCGAGCUUCUCUUCAUUUGCAUGAAUUAGUAAAUUGUCGCUGGGUUGAAGAAGUGACCCAACAACUUGAUACAUUGCAAGCUGUUUGCAUAUCCAACUUUCGACAUGAUGAUUCUACCAGAGACAGAUGUACAGUUCAUCAAGAGAAAUUGUCUGUGUAUUGUUGGACCUGCCGCAAAUGUAUCUGUCAUCAAUGCGCCCUAUGGGGUGGCACUCAUUCAGGACAUACCUUCAAACCUUUAGAAGACGUUUACGAGCAACAUGUUACUCAGAUCAAAGCUGAAAUAGGCCAAUUAAAUAGACGACUUAUGGAACUAAUUAGUCUUGUUCAAGAAGUGGAGAGAAAUGUCGAAUCAGUAAGGGCGGCAAAAGAUGAAAGAGUCAGAGAAAUCAGAAACGCGAUCGAAUUAAUGAUAGCUCGCUUGGACUCUCAGCUAAAAGCCAAGCUGCUGACUUUAAUGGGUCAGAAGAAUUCGUUGACUUUGGAAACCGAACAACUAGAAGCAUUACUGCAAGAGGUUGAAUAUCAAUUACAUACGUGCACACGCUCCGAGCUAAUCGUUAAGAGUGCCGAGCUUUCGCGCAAGAUAUAUCAAGUCCGUAAGAAGCCAAUGACAAGUUUUGUUACCGCGCCUGUACCUGCUGAUUUUCAUAGCGAAAUUGUGCCAGGUUACGAUAGUGCGACAUUUGCGAUGCAAAAUUUUACUCAACUUCAACUAAAAGCUGAUCCGGUGUAUUCCGCGCCAUUACAUGUGAACGGAUUGUGCUGGCGAUUAAAGGUGUAUCCGGAUGGUAACGGAGUUGUACGCGGAAAUUAUUUGUCAGUAUUCUUGGAGCUCAGCGCUGGAUUACCAGAAACAUCAAAAUACGAGUACAGAGUUGAAAUGAUACAUCAAGGGUCUCGUGAUACGAGUAAAAAUAUCGUUCGCGAAUUUGCAUCUGAUUUUGAGAUUGGUGAAUGUUGGGGAUACAACAGAUUUUUCAGAUUAGACUUACUUGCAACAGAAGGCUACUUAAAUACAGAGCUAGAUACACUUAUAUUAAGAUUUCAAGUGCGACCACCGACAUUUUAUCAACGCUGUAGAGACCAGCAAUGGUACAUUAGUCAACUAUUAACACUUCAAAAUCAAUAUACUACUCAAAUCAAUGAAUUAAAGGAGAGACUAGCAAUAGAAAUAUCUCGCAACGCCAUAACAGCUACUAGAGCUAAUGGAACUACAAUAAUUAGUUCAACUGCAAAUACAUCAUCUUUAUCUGUGCAACAGCAGCAGCAGCAACAACAGGAUGUAGGCGAUUCAACAAACAAUUCGAAUGUUAUACGAACAAUUGACACAUAUCCUACUACAAAUGGAACACCAAUAAGAUCCAUACCAAACACGCUUCCCAGUAACAAUAGCAACACAAUAAUACCGAGUGAUCAGUUAUUGCCGAUGUGCGAAUUGAACGAGCUCUCGGGUAUGCAUCUCCUAGAUUCUACUACGUCGACGUUAUCGAAAACAUUGUUGAAGACACACCGUGCCAGCAAUAAUCUAAAUAUCAUCGAGACCGAGAGCAAUCCAUCGUCGCGUCGCGUCAACGACACAUCGCUUGGAGAAUGUCAAACCGCGAAGAUUCAUUUGAACUUCUCGUCAUCGCCCUAUUCCUCGCCUGGUGAUAUACUCACCGGUCAGCAGCCAUUAAAUCUAUCGUUCAAUAACAGCGAUCCUUUAUUAUCCGCGUCAACGUUAUCGUCGGUGACAGACAAUCAACGGAUUAAUGGCUGCGUGACGGAAGGCGAAGCUGCGCAGCGUUGCACGAACGAUGCGUCGCCAGGUGAAUGCCGAGAGGUUGCAGCUGGUAUCCAGUCCCCGUCAUUUUAUUUAUCAUCGACAUUGAAUCUCUCAUCCAGUAGCAGCAGCAGUAGCGACAGUGGCGAAUUGAGCGAACAUGACAUUUAUAUGGACGAAUGUGAGCACAAUGAACCCAACGUCACGCUUUUGGACCUGACAAAUGACGAAAACGACGUGGACGACGAAACCAUGUCAGGGGAAAACGACAUUGAAGUUGCGGAAUGGGUUCAGAACAAACAGCGAAAGCAACAAAACAACAGGGAUAUUGUUACAGAUACAUGCAGGUUGAGAGAAAUAAUGCUGCUGCAUUUGUUCGAGAUACAAGACAGAAACUCCGCGUGGACUUCUCUAUGUCUUGGCCAGCAAACAGACGAAAAUUGUGAGUCCAGGAGCUCGCUCGCGAGUUUGCGACGUCGUAGUUCUAGUCCGUUGUAUAACGCUGUGAUGCAACCCACCUCGACCACAGCUUAUUCACACAAACAUCCUGAACUCGAUACCGCGGCCUGUAUCGAUCUAAAUUUGAAUAGUGACAAGAAGCAUCCCAUCAUUGCAAACACUUUACAUCACUCCCAGCCGCAGACAACUUACAGUGCUAAGACCAAAUAUGAUCAACUGCCGAGCUUUUGUCGAUCGGAACUAGUGGCUGUGACAAUGCCUUCCGGUAGUCAAAUAACCAGAUCUGAGCCGGCGACACGUUCCAAUUCAAUAGACUGUGAAAGAGAUAUCUCGAAACUGCCAGUAGUUAAUAAAAUCAAUCACGAUAUAGAGUCGCCUAAUUUACGUCUGGAUCUAAUAGUGCCAAAUGUACUUCUAGACAGUAACAAAAUCAUGUCAAAGCAUUUAUUGUCACGACGCCAAUCCUCUCCAAGCUCAUCUACUAACAUGAAUUUGAAAAAUGACAACAGCAAAAUAUUCGAAAUUGACCAAUUACUCGAAGCUAUACAUUUGUCAUCGGAAUCGCAGAAAGAUACGGCGGCGAGCAGCGCAAAUCUGAGGUAAAAGCGGAGAUGUAGUUAGCUGCAGGAAGAUUAGAACGAAAACGAAACAUCCUUAUACAUAAGCAAAACACUUCGUCCGACGUAAAGAGUAACGCUUGUACUGCUAGUGGAAGUUCCGCUGCACUCUCGUUGACACAGGAGAGUACAUUGUUGUCACCUGUAAACACUGCAAUGACAGCGAACGCUAUUCUUACUCCCAGCACUUUCAGCUGGUCGCCAGCAUUGUAUCAGCACGCGCAUGG
rnacentral:misc_RNA from 1 species